CCUACGGGAGGCAGCAGUGGGGAAUAUUGCACAAUGGGCGAAAGCCUGAUGCAGCGACGCCGCGUGAGGGAUGACGGCCUUCGGGUUGUAAACCUCUUUCAGCAGGGAAGAAGCGAAAGUGACGGUACCUGCAGAAGAAGCGCCGGCUAACUACGUGCCAGCAGCCGCGGUAAUACGUAGGGCGCAAGCGUUGUCCGGAAUUAUUGGGCGUAAAGAGCUCGUAGGCGGCUUGUCACGUCGGGUGUGAAAGCCCGGGGCUUAACCCCGGGUCUGCAUUCGAUACGGGCUAGCUAGAGUGUGGUAGGGGAGAUCGGAAUUCCUGGUGUAGCGGUGAAAUGCGCAGAUAUCAGGAGGAACACCGGUGGCGAAGGCGGAUCUCUGGGCCAUUACUGACGCUGAGGAGCGAAAGCGUGGGGAGCGAACAGGAUUAGAUACCCUGGUAGUCCACGCCGUAAACGGUGGGAACUAGGUGUUGGCGGCAUUCCACGUCGUCGGUGCCGCNGCUACGCAUUAGUUACCCGUCCCGUCGGGUAGGUACGGCCGGCGACGACGUAAACCUACAAGGAAGUUAGUACGGCGUGAGACGUGCCGACGGACGACGACGAGGGAGUAGG
rnacentral:rRNA from 1 species